GAUGAACGCUGGCGGCGUGCCUUAGACAUGCAAGUCGAACGAAGCACCUUUCUCCGAUCGCUUCGGUGUGAGGAGACUGGUGACUUAGUGGCGAACGGGUGAGUAACACGUGAGUGACCU
rnacentral:rRNA from 1 species